ACCUGCGGAAGGAUCAUUACUGAGUGCGGGCUGCCUCCGGGCGCCCAACCUCCCACCCGUGACUACCUAACACUGUUGCUUCGGCGGGGAGCCCUCUCGGGGGCGAGCCGCCGGGGACUACUGAACUUCAUGCCUGAGAGUGAUGCAGUCUGAGUCUGAAUAUAAAAUCAGUCAAAACUUUCAACAAUGGAUCUCUUGGUUCCGGCAUCGAUGAAGAACGCAGCGAACUGCGAUAAGUAAUGUGAAUUGCAGAAUUCAGUGAAUCAUCGAGUCUUUGAACGCACAUUGCGCCCCCUGGCAUUCCGGGGGGCAUGCCUGUCCGAGCGUCAUUGCUGCCCAUCAAGCCCGGCUUGUGUGUUGGGUCGUCGUCCCCCCCGGGGGACGGGCCCGAAAGGCAGCGGCGGCACCGUGUCCGGUCCUCGAGCGUAUGGGGCUUUGUCACCCGCUCGAUUUAGGGCCGGCCGGGCGCCAGCCGACGUCCAACCAUUUUUCUUCAGGUGACCUC
rnacentral:rRNA from 1 species